rnacentral:rRNA from 1 species
GGAGGGUGCAAGCGUUGUUCGGAAUUACUGGGCGUAAAGCGCGCGUAGGCGGCCUCUUAUGUCAGGUGUGAAAGCCCUCGGCCCAACCGAGGAAGUGCGCCUGAAACUGAGAGGCUUGAGUACGAGAGAGGAGGACGGAAUUCCCAGUGUAGAGGUGAAAUUCGUAGAUAUUGGGAAGAACACCGGUGGCGAAAGCGGUUCUCUGGAUCGAUACUGACGCUAAGGCGCGAAAGCGUGGGGAGCAAACAGGAUUAGAUACCCUGGUAGUCCACGCUGUAAACGAUGGAUAUUAGUUGUUGCGGGCUUAUAAACUCGCAGUGACGACGCUAACGCAUUAAAUAUCCCGCCUGGGGACUACGGCCGCAAGGUUA